CUUCUUUUUAUUUUUAUUUUUCUGUUCUGUUUUAUUUUAGAUACACAUUGUUUUUAGUUUAGAAAAAAAUGAUAACAACUCCUAAAUUGAUGUUUGAGAACCACCCACUGCCAUAAAUGUUUUACCCCGAAAUAAAUUAGUUUAUAAUUUUAAUAAUCGAAAAAUGUAUUUACUUAAUUGUUUUGCUGCAGUUCUAAUCACUUUAGAGUAAUUAAUUAUUUUAUAAAAAUGUUGUUUCUCCACCAAUACUAUCGAUGAUUUAAUUGUCACAAUAAGAACAUUUUAGUUUUGAGAAUUUGAAAACUUUAAUUGAUUGACUUGACUUUGAAUUUGAAAUUUGAUUCGGUUUUGAACUAAUGCAAGAUUUGCAACCGUAAUCGAAGUGACGUGGCAUCAUUAAUGUGGGAUUACUGUAGCUUAAUUACCCGGGCGUCACAGCAUCCAAGGUACUGUUACUCAUGAUUAAAAUAUAUCAUCUACAUGCCAUUCAUAUCAUUUCCAAAGAUCCAAUUUUUUUGAAUCUUAUCCUAGAGGAUACAACAUAUGCUCAAAGAAUUUUAAAGCAAGAGUACUUUCAGAUAUAUAUGCCAAAAAUAUUAUGUACUCUUAAAUAAACUUGAUAUGCUACAGAAUUGUGCUUCCAGUUUGCAGUAAGAGUUGAAAAAAAUGAUUUUCUAAAUAAUAUUAUGUACUGGAAGUACUCUUUACGCCGAAGAAGUUUGAAAGUAGUAAUAUUAUGUAUGUCGUAGAUGACAUGUACAAGCACAACAUAUGGUACUUUCAGACUUUCACACUGUCCAAGCACUAGUCUGAAAUUUGGCACUUUCAGACUCUCCAAGCACAAGUCUGGAAGUCUGAAUUUUGGUACAAGCACAAGUAAUUUCAGUCUGUCGUCUCUGUUAAUAUUACCUUUCAGACUGUCAGUCUGAAAGUAUGAAAUUUGGUACAAGCUCAAAUACUUCCAGACUGUCCAAGCACAAGUCUGAAAUUUGGUACAUAAUAUAUGCAGAAUGUUUGGUACUUUCAGUCUGAACUUCAAGCACAAGUCUCUUUACCAUGUAGAGGACAUUUACUACAGAAUCAACUAUGAAAAUUGGUAUCAACCUUUGACAAGCAUACCUGAAGACUGGAUAUUUCUUCUUCUUUUUUUUGCGGGAUGGAUAUUUCUUCUUAGGCAUUCCCAGAUGGCGGAGCUAGAUGCGGGGGUGCAGGCGACAUGUGAUAAUGGGCUGGUUGGGGUAGGACAAAGAAUGGAGCGAGGAUUUCCUCUAGAUGUCGGAGCAGAGUAGCUUAGAGAACUUGUCCGCACAAGGUCGCAGCUUAGAAUAGGAGAGGUCCAUCAGGGCAGCCAGAACGCCGGCGGCAAGACGGUCGACGAUGGAUCUGGACCUCCACCGGGCGCAAUCUCCCAGCUAGGCACCGGGUCUGACCCGCCGCCACCGUCGGCAAGCUGGAGGGUUGGUGUUGGAGCCAGCUGCUACGCGUUGGGGAUUUGGGUUCGUGCUGCUGCGUUCUCAGGAAGAAGAAGGCGAUUUUGAUAGCAAAACGAGUAGAAGCAAGGGAGUUUUCUGCAAAGAACCUAGUACCUAUGCGCUCAUAUCUAUCCACUAGAAUCUGGACCAUUCAUCCAGGAUCGGAAGGCCUAGAUACGUUUUUUCUAUUUUUGCACCCAUGGCCCUUCUUUUAUUAUAGUCGCUCCCUAUUUUUCCAAGCCAAAAUCUGGGAUGAGGGUAUAAAUCCUUUUUGUUUUGUUUUGAUGAAGACACAAAAAUCUUGCUAGUUCUAUUUUCUCCAGUUUGUACUUUGGAGCACAUCAGGAAGCGGCCACACUGGUACAAUAUGAAAGAUCUUGCAUUUUGGUAUCCUAAUUCACAACAUUCAUUGGUGGAUAUAGUUUUGUUUCAAAGUAUAGGUUGCAACAUAAAAAUAUAUGGAGAUUAGUCUCUGUAGGAUAAGACUCCAUUUCCAUUUUCAUAAUAAAAAUGAGGCCGUGUCCUUUGAUAAAAAAAAUCGUGCCUAUAUUAUCAACACUUACGGUUAUAGUAGUACAUAUUUUGCUAUACUCAGUGUCAACUCCUAUAUAUUCCGCCAGGCUUAGUUGCAUUUUAGAGUUGUCCUUGAUGUUCGGCCCCCCUUAUGUUUAUUUCCUGGCUCCAUCGUUGCCUACUUCACAUACAGAUUGGAUAUUUAGUUGUAUAUUUAGCACCAACAAAACCAUAAAGCUUACUAUAGUCUUCAUAUAUAUAUUUUAUAGAAGAUUAUAUCACGUUUCUUUAUACACACACAAAGAAGAAUACCUUUCUAUUAUGAUUAUUUAUUCAUCAUUAUUUUAGGCAUAUUAGUAUGGAAGCUAGGUUAGUAUUGUGGUAGUGAUUCCAGUUUGAUUCGUUGAAAUCUGCAGCUCUUUGUUUCAACUCCGAGGUUGGCGCUGAUGUCAUUGCUUGUUGCACUAUCCCAUGUGAAGAAGCAAUCUAUCUGAGAAAGAAAUUUUAAGAGGCUGGCCUAUUAAUUUUAAGAGGAUUUUUAACCCAGCUUUUUCUGUUUAGUGCUGGUUUGGCUUGCCUUAGCUUUUAUAUUUCAACAAUCAGGUUCACAAAUAGAUACCAACCUAGACACGAGCUGGAUAAACCCUAUCUGAUUUUGUUUUCUCCACUUGAGAUUUGCAGGGGAGGUUGCAUUGCCCGGAGGAAAGGCAGAGGAGGGUGAUGUUGAUGAUGCAGCAACAUCAUUAAGGGAGGCAAAGGAGGAGAUUGGGCUUGAUCCAGCCUUGGUCACUGUCGUUUCCUCGCUUGAGCACUUCUUGCCCAAGUUGUUUCGUCGCUGCGAGGGUCUGGUGUUCGACGACCUCCCCGUGCGUUGAACGAGCUCCGCCCCGGCGUUCGUGGGUGAGCACAAAUGACAUCUCCUCCUCCCCCAAUCAUUUGUUAUGUUCCGGUCUUCAUGCCGAUGAAACAUGCUAGCUGUAGGUAGAUUGAAUCAUCAGUAUGCGUGACCACUAUGCG